rnacentral:rRNA from 1 species
UACGUAGGGUGCAAGCGUUGUCCGGAAUUAUUGGGCGUAAAGAGCUCGUAGGCGGUCUGUCACGUCGGCUGUGAAAACCCGAGGCUCAACCUCGGGCCUGCAGUCGAUACGGGCAGACUAGAGUUCGGUAGGGGAGACUGGAAUUCCUGGUGUAGCGGUGAAAUGCGCAGAUAUCAGGAGGAACACCGGUGGCGAAGGCGGGUCUCGUGGGCCGAUAUUGACGCUGAGGAGCGAAAGCGUGGGGAGCGAACAGG